GACGAACGCUGGCGGCGUGCUUAACACAUGCAAGUCGAACGGAAAGGCCCUGCUUUUGUGGGGUGCUCGAGUGGCGAACGGGUGAGUAACACGUGAGUAACCUGCCCUUGACUUUGGGAUAACUUCAGGAAACUGGGGCUAAUACCGGAUAGGAGCUCCUGCUGCAUGGUGGGGGUUGGAAAGUUUCGGCGGUUGGGGGUGGACUCGCGGCGUAUCAGCUUGUUGGUGGGGUAGUGGCUUACCAAGGCUUUGACGGGUAGCCGGCCUGAGAGGGUGACCGGCCACAUUGGGACUGAGAUACGGCCCAGACUCCUACGGGAGGCAGCAGUGGGGAAUAUUGCACAAUGGGCGGAAGCCUGAUGCAGCAACGCCGCGUGCGGGAUGACGGCCUUCGGGUUGUAAACCGCUUUCGCCUGUGACGAAGCGUGAGUGACGGUAAUGGGUAAAGAAGCACCGGCUAACUACGUGCCAGCAGCCGCCGUAA
rnacentral:rRNA from 1 species